rnacentral:lncRNA from 1 species
CCCACUUUCUCUCAGGAAGCCAAGGGUGCCAGUUCUGGGCCAGCCCUGACCCAUCCCUCUGGCCACGCCUCACUGCCAUGGUUGCAUUGCCUGUGCAGGAGCCAGACAGGCGGUCCUCACUGGAUUUUUGCCAGACCCGGAUGUCCUGAAAUCUCAGUUGCACACAAAACCUACUGUGCCCUUUUGUCCUGAAUUCCCCAACUGCAUUUCUUUCCAAGAACAUCCUUUUUUCCAAAUGAAUAUUCCCAGGUCAUUUCUUGAGGGAAUUAUAUGUUGUUGUUUUUAACUUGUUGGACUACAUGUACAAAAGAAGUCAAAUGCUCCCAUAUGAAACUGAUCUAGGCCUAAGCUGACCUCAGAGGGGAAAGAAGAGCUGGGGGCAAUGAGGUCUCACUGCUUCUGGGACCUUCUCCCUCAGAAAUACAUUUCUGGAGCAAGAGACCCCUGAGAUGCUGGAUAGAGGCAAAGACAUUCACUUCACUGAGUGCAAUGGGACCAGGCCCAUUCCUUCCAAGGACCUGACUUGCCCUGCCUUCCCAAGAGACAGCACUGGUCUUGCUGGCUCCAUCCUCCAGCCUCUUUUCCCAAGGCCAGGGAACUAUGCAUUCCCUCUUUCCUGCAUCACAAGCACCUGCAAGGACCUGCCCAGCAGCAGCAGGAAAUCUGCAGACCAUGUGGGGCAAGGGGCUUGCAUAAACUCAAGGUGAAUCAGCCUGGCAAACACCUCCACCCAACAGCCCAUUUGCCAAGGCAAGAGAAGAUCUAGAACAUGGCUCUUCUAUAAGUCUUCCCUUGAUGCCACUGGCCACGGGUCCAUGGAAACUCUGCUGCUCUGGGAAAGGACAGGCCACAGCCCCCCAGGUCCUACCAGACUGGGGCAGAAGAAGGCAGACAAGGCACUGUCCAAGCUAAAAGGAGCCAAUGGGAUGCUGUGCUCCAGGAGGUCAAGAACUACGGCAGGGCUGUGGUAGCCAGGUUCCCAGCUGGACUCAGAGCAUGUGGAAGGGCACCUCCCCUCCUGUGACUUGCUAUGCAAGUCUCCAGCAAGUGGCAGGUGUGAAAAUCACUUGCCAGCUGUGCAUCCUACAUUAAUUAAUCUCUGGA